rnacentral:ribozyme from 1 species
UCAAAGAAAAGACAAAAAUUAAAACGUAGUAAUUUUUGUUUCGUCCAAUCUUCUUUUGAUUGUUGUUGAGUAGUAAAGGAGGGAAAGAAAAAAAGAUGU